UACGGAGGGGGCUAGCGUUGUUCGGAAUUACUGGGCGUAAAGCGCACGUAGGCGGCGAUUUAAGUCAGAGGUGAAAGCCCGGGGCUCAACCCCGGAAUAGCCUUUGAGACUGGAUUGCUAGAAUCUUGGAGAGGCGAGUGGAAUUCCGAGUGUAGAGGUGAAAUUCGUUAGAUAUUCGGGAAGAACACCAGUGGCGAAGGCGGCUCGCUGGACAAGUAUUGACGUGAGGU
rnacentral:rRNA from 1 species